GGAACUAGAGGAUGAACUUAAAAAGCUUCAACCUUCUAAUAGAUGCCUCAAGUUCUUCUUCUAGAAACGAAAUCAAGUACGAAAUCGAUGUUUUGGAAGAAUCUUAGGCUAAUAUAGAAAAGAAAAUUGGAUCUGCUGGACAGAGCCGUGGCAUUUGAAGUUGAAGCAAAAGAAAUUCUUAAUGAUGAUAAAACAGAUUCUAAAAAAGUGGAAAAAUUUUUGGAAGCUGGACUUAAUUUGGAUAUUGAUAUUCCCGAGAUCCUGCAACUAAAACAAAGGCUUUACCAGAAGAGGUGGUUAGAAGAAGUGAAUGGUUCCCUGUUACACCCAGAGAUGGUUACGCUAGAUAUGUUACGCAAACUCCUUGAUAACGAAUCAACAUACCUCCUGAUCAUACCAUAGAAAAAGUAAUGGCUGAACUCCAAGAACUCCUGACUUUUGGAGAAAAGUGGGAAGAAAAAGCAAAAAUGUGCCUGCGAGCUAAGCCUAAACACUCCUUACAAGUUCUGGAACAAGUGGUUAAGGAAGCAGGAAAUAUAUAUCAAUUCAUCUUCCUAAUGUCAUGCAAUUGGCUGAUGCUGUCAGAAAAGCAAAGGACUGGAUUGCAAGGGUGAGA